UAUCCCUAUGAUGAGUUCUUUUUAAAUUUAACGUUAAAAGUAGACUGACCUUUAAAGGAAGACUAAAUCAAUUCUGAGGGAUG